AUUGAACGCUGGCGGCAGGCCUAACACAUGCAAGUCGAGCGGAUGAAGGGAGCUUGCUCCUGGAUUCAGCGGCGGACGGGUGAGUAAUGCCUAGGAAUCUGCCUGGUAGUGGGGGAUAACGUCCGGAAACGGGCGCUAAUACCGCAUACGUCCUGAGGGAGAAAGUGGGGGAUCUUCGGACCUCACGCUAUCAGAUGGGCCUAGGUCGGAUUAGCCAGUUGGUGGGGUAAAGGCCUACCAAGGCGACGAUCCGUAACUGGUCUGAGAGGAUGAUCAGUCACACUGGAACUGAGACACGGUCCAGACUCCUACGGGAGGCAGCAGUGGGGAAUAUUGGACAAUGGGCGAAAGCCUGAUCCAGCCAUGCCGCGUGUGUGAAGAAGGUCUUCGGAUUGUAAAGCACUUUAAGUUGGGAGGAAGGGCAGUAAGUUAAUACCUUGCUGUUUUGACGUUACCAACAGAAUAAGCACCGGCUAACUUCGUG
rnacentral:rRNA from 1 species